UCGCUCAGGCCUCUCCUGAUAAAUACGCACCAGUCUUUCGCCUUUUACUAAAGAAUGCCGUGGGGAGGGGCGCUACAAUGAGCCUACAGGCGAAUUUUUGAAAGGCCCUGCCCGCUUGCCU
rnacentral:snRNA from 1 species